UGGUGGAGUGAUUUGUCUGGUUAAUUCCGUUAACGAACGAGACCUUCACCUGCUAAAUAGCUACGCGGAUCCUUGUGAUCCAGUGGACAGCUUCUUAGAGGGACUGACGAUGUCUAAUCGUCGGAGGUUGGAGGCAAUAACA
rnacentral:rRNA from 1 species